UACGUAUGGAGCAAGCGUUAUCCGGAUUUACUGGGUGUAAAGGGUGCGUAGGCGGCGUUCCAAGUCAGAUGUGAAAUGCCGGGGCUUAACCCCGGAGCUGCAUUUGAAACUGGGGCGCUGGAGUUCAGGAGGGGCAGGCGGAAUUCCUGGUGUAGCGGUGAAAUGCGUAGAUAUCAGGAGGAACACCGGUGGCGAAGGCGGCCUGCUGGACUGACACUGACGCUGAGGCACGAAAGCGUGGGGAGCAAACAGG
rnacentral:misc_RNA from 1 species